rnacentral:rRNA from 1 species
CAUGGCUAUUAAAGUUCAGGUGCGCCCGAUCUCGUCUGAUCUCGGAAGCUAAGCAGGGUCAGGCCUGGUUAGUACUUCGAUGGGAGACCAUCCCUGCCGAGAUGUGAAAAAACUUACAGCACCUGGUAUUCCCAGGC